UGGGGAAUAUUGCACAAUGGGCGCAAGCCUGAUGCAGCCAUGCCGCGUGUAUGAAGAAGGCCUUCGGGUUGUAAAGUACUUUCAGCGGGGAGGAAGGGAGUAAAGUUAAUACCUUUGCUCAUUGACGUUACCCGCAGAAGAAGCACCGGCUAACUCCGUGCCAGCAGCCGCGGUAAUACGGAGGGUGCAAGCGUUAAUCGGAAUUACUGGGCGUAAAGCGCACGCAGGCGGUUUGUUAAGUCAGGUGUGAAAUCCCCGGGCUCAACCUGGGAACUGCAUCUGAUACUGGAAAGCUUGAGUCUCGUAGAGGGGGGUAGAAUUCCAGGUGUAGCGGUGAAAUGCGUAGAGAUCUGGAGGAAUACCGGUGGCGAAGGCGGCCCCCUGGGCGAAGACUGACGCUCAGGUGCGAAAGCGUGGGGAGCAAACAGG
rnacentral:rRNA from 1 species